AGGCUUAACACAUGCAAGUCGAACGGGCGUAGCAAUACGUCAGUGGCAGACGGGUGAGUAACGCGUGGGAACGUACCUUUUGGUUCGGAACAACACAGGGAAACUUGUGCUAAUACCGGAUAAGCCCUUACGGGGAAAGAUUUAUCGCCGAAAGAUCGGCCCGCGUCUGAUUAGCUAGUUGGUGAGGUAAUGGCUCACCAAGGCGACGAUCAGUAGCUGGUCUGAGAGGAUGAUCAGCCACAUUGGGACUGAGACACGGCCCAA
rnacentral:rRNA from 1 species